rnacentral:sRNA from 1 species
UGCGUUAGCCCUGAACCAGGCAUGGGCACCAUUAACCCUGAACCAGGUGUGGGCCAUGGUGGCCCUGAACCAGAGCACUGCACCGUGCCCCGUGCACAUCAAUCCAUAGGGGUGAAGGCUCUACAUAGGCACCAGCUUGACUUUCUAAAUCCAGGGAGUUCCGAGGUUUUCUCCAGCUCUAGGGCCUUACGUUCAGACUGGAGAGCAACCACUAGCCUUGCGGUCAUCGGUCAUCGGUCAUCGGGGUUGUCUGAGGCUGGGAAACCUGGUGUGCAUGCAGUGGACGUUGCUCCUCCUCUUCCCACCGUUCUCUCUUACUCUCUCCUGCUCCGCUGAACUUUCCUUUCCAAAAGGCCCCUUGUGUGAGUGGGGCUUGGAGGUUGUUUCCUGAGCAAGGGAAACCCGUGGCUUGGGGACAGGAAUAUGACAGAUUCCUCUGUCAGAAGUGCACAGCUGGUGACGCUCCUACAUCCUAUGCUGUAGGCUUCUGUUGCGUUUGUUUGAGCCUCUGCUUUACUGUACAGAAGCCUUUACAUUUCCAAUGCUUCCUGUUGGCUGUUGGCCUCCGCCUGCGAGCCUGUGACGCUCUACCCUGAAGCCUUUACUGUUGCCUACUCUCGAGCCUCUUCUACUUCCCUAACAGCACUUCUGUGUGUCAGAACCUCCAUUCAAGCCCUCCAUGUGUCGGAGUUGAUUUUUGUGAAUGGUGAGAGGUGGGACUCUAGUCUCAUUCUUCUACAUGCGGAUAUUUUGUUUUUCCAACGCCACAUAUGCGUUGAGGGGGCUGAUUUUUUUUUCUCCAUGUGGUUUUGUUAAAAACCAGCUAGCUAUAUGUGUGUGAGUUUAUAUCUUGGUCCUAAUUCUAUUCCCUUGAUCUUCACAUCUGCUUCUGUGCCAGUACCAUAUUGCUUUUUAAAAUUAUUAUUGCUAUGGCUCUGUAGUAAAAGAAAAAUGAAAUAAAACAUUGGAAAUCUGGUAUGUUGAUGCUUCUAGUGUUAUUGUUUAGAAUUGCUUUGACUAUCAAAGGUUCUUUAUGUUUACAUGCUAAUUAUUAAGUUUUAGUGCAUGACUGUCUGUCUGUCUGUCUGUAUGUAUGUCUGUAUGUAUGUCUCAAUAUCUGUCUGUAUGUAUACGCUUUCCACAGCAUGGACGUGGAAGUCAGAGGAGAAGUUGUGGAAGUUGGUUCUCCUCGGGCUCCAGUGGUUGGAGUCAUGCUGUCAGGCCUACUGACAGGCGCCCACCUCUGAGCCAUCUCACUGGUCCUCCAUGUGAAUUUUAGGAUCUCUGUGAAGAAUGGUUGUAGAAUGGUGGUUAAGGAUUGCAUUGAACCAUUGGAUUGCUUUUGAUGGGAACACUCAGUUUACAAUAUUAAUUUUUUCAGUGCGUGCACACAGGAGAUCAUUCCAUGUUCUAGUGUCUUUUCAAUUUUCCUCUUCAGUGUUUUAAAUUUUACAUUGUAGGGUGUGUUUCACAUUCUUGGAUAGGUUCAUUCCAAAGCUAUUUUGGGGGUUGGGUGAAGUUGUGAAUAGAAUUGUUUACCUGUUUUCUCUUGUAAUACUUUUAUUACUAGUAUAUAGGAAGGCUACUGAUUUUUGUAUUUUGGGUGCUGGAGAGAUAGAUUAACAGUUAAGAGCACUGACUCUUACAGAGGACUUGGUUUUAAUUCUCAGCGCCUACAUGUUGUCUCACAACCAUCUAUAACUCCUGUCCUGGGGACGCAACUCCUUCUCUUGGCCUCCCUUGGCAUCAGGCACACACAUGGUGCAUUACAUGUAGACAAAACACCCAUGCAUAAGUUUUUAAUUUCAUUUUUGUAUCUUAGCACUUUGCAGAAGUUUUCUGGUGGACUCUGUAAGAUACUAUGUAUAGACCCACAUAAUGUGCAAAUAAUACUGCUAAUCUUCCUUUCCUAUUUGUAUUCCUUUUUUCUUUCCCUUGUCAAAUGUGCUGGCUAGGACUUCAAGCACAAUCCUCAAUAGGGGUGGACAGAGUGUAUACCCUUGUCUUGGUUCUGAUUUUAGUGAAAAUGCCAGUUUUUCUUUUUCUAGAAUGAAACUGAGUUUGACAUGUCACAUGUAUCCCUUAAUAUAUUGAGAUGUGUUUCUUCCACUCCUAGUUGUUUUCAUAGUUUUUAUCCUGAAAGAAAGUUGAACUUGCCAAAGGCCUUUUCUGCAUCUAAUGAAAUUAUCAUGUAGUUUAUGUCCUUGCGUCUGUUUAUGUGUUAUGUUACACUUGUUGGUUUGUAUAUGUUGAAACAUUCCUGAGUCUCUGGGAUGAAACUGCCUUGAUCAUGGUGGUCUUUUUGACAUGCUCCUGAAUUUAGUUUUUAAAUAUCUUUGAGAAAUUUGUGUCUCUGUCCAUUAAGGAGAUUGGUCUGUAAUUUUCUGUUUUUCAUUAUGUUCUUUUUCUAAUUUUGACAUAUCAUUAUGAUCCAAUUUUUCUUUCUUUAAUUGUAUUGUUUUUUAUAUUUCUGUUCCUUAAUGGUAGGAGUCAGUUCUACUGUGCUAAAGUGUUUCAUAUUUCUAAUAGCUAGAAUACUUUUUCUGUCCUUGUACUCUAAGGUAGUGCAUUUCUUUGAAGGCAAGGUUUGGUUCUUGAAUACUGUUUUUAGAAUCUCUUCUGCUAGACUGUGUGUUUUCACUGGAAAUUAAGACCAUUAGUAGUCACGGUCAUUGAAAGGUGUGUAUUAAAUUCUGUCGUCUUGCAUCACUCUUGAUAUCGUAGAUGACUGAGAUUCUGUGAAAGUCUUCUGAGGUUUUCAGCUUUCUGAGUUCUGUCCAGAUCAGAUUCAGGAUUUCUUUUCAAUCUCACAGUUGGUCUGGUUUCAUUGUGCAGGCUCCUCUUUUGGUUUUAGUUUACUGGAGUCUUUGGUUGUGGAGCUGAGGCCACAGCAGAGUUCUUUGAAAUGCUGUCUUGCUCCUGUCCUGUCGGUUGUCAGUGCUGAAGGGAAGGGACGUCCCCGGCCCCCCUGUGCUCUCCUCCCUGGGUUACAGCUCUCCUGACCCCAGCUGCCAAAGGUACGUCCGCUGCUUCUCCCAAAUCUCUCAUCUUCCCAGCUUCAUCUGAGGAACACUUUGUUUUUGUAGAUUUUUCAAUUAGCAUAUAUUAAUUAUGUAAAACAGUGGAUUCAGUCGAGAUAUUCACAGCACAUAUAACACACAACCUUCUUGGAAGGAAUAGACUGCUAGCCAGUAUUUUAUGUGUAUCUCAAACUGACAUGUAAAGAAUAACCAUUUAGUUGGUAAUUGCUUACAGUGGCCUUUGAGUCAGUAGUAGUUGACAAAAUUUAUCUUCUACAGUUACAUCAAAUCUUUGCUAGAAGACCUGUAUUUGGGCUGAUCAAAAAGUCUUUACUCCGUUCUGUUUGAGAUAGGCUCCCUACUAGCUGGAAACACUUUGGGACCUGCUCUCAAGAACCUUUAUUGAAACUAUAGGUGACAGCCCUCUCAUCUGUAGAAGCACAAUGUCAGCGGAUAGCCUGGAGAAUUUUUCAUUACAAUAGAAAAAUUCCUGAAAUGUAGCAUAAGUGGCAGACCUUGGCAGGCUGGGGACAGAGCGUUUUAGUGAAAAGUUUAGUCAAGUCUAUGCAGACUUGAAAUAAUCAGCGUUUGCAUCUGUACACCCUCACUGUGCUUGAAGCGGUAUUUGGCAAUAUGCUCGCCUUUGGAGUUCACAUUGAGUAUCUUUCUUCUUCAUCUGUCUCGUUUGUUUCAGUCUGUCUGCUUUUGUUUCUGUCUGUCUGCUUGUUUUUUGUUGUUCAUUGGUUGACUGAUUGCUUUUUAUGGUGUCCAGGGAUAAAAUCCCAGUCCUUACACAUGCCAGGAAAGCCUGAUCCUCACCCUCAGUCCCCAUGUUAAAUCCAUAAAUAUACAGCAAGCAGGAAGGAGAAAAUAUGCCUGGGUAAAAGACAAGGUCAUAUUUAGUAAACUCAACAAAAACCAGGCCAACUAAAACACUUUAUGUAGAAUAGUAUUGGGGGAAACUCAAAAAUUAUAAAGUUCCCCAAUUGCUUGUUGAAAAGAUCAUCAUAUAGUCUGUUUAGACAGUCAGAUUCUUAUGGCCUAAGUAAACCAAACUUAGCCUUGGAUUUGCUUAUAGGCUAUAAGAAACAGUAAGUCAUCUCUUUAUAUUCUUGUCCUUUUACCAAUCAGUGACACUUUGGGUGCAAAGAGACAAGAUGCAUAGCGGGCUUGUGGGUUUGUUUUGUUUUGCCUAAAAUUCCUUGUGGUGAGCAAGAACUUUUUCAUUAGUUUGGUAAGCAUUCCUUACCAAGUCCACUGAAAGUGCAUGCCCAGUUCUCCACAUCCAGAGAAGCACAAAUUUGCAGUCUUCCCCCCUGUGCAGAGUCCUACCAUACACAUGUAGGAUGAAGCAGGGUUCGUUUUUUUUACCAUAAGCAAUGUUGCCUGGGACUUGCAAAUCCGUAGUUGAUAAAGUUAAUUUGGGAGAAGGAGGAAAGAAUGACACAUUGGCUACCUUCAGGGGAAAGACUCGCAGCAGUCCAGAUGGCAGCAGAGGAGAUCCCACUUAGAGAUGUGAGACUGCAGACUUGAUAACAGCAUGACUCAGGCAUGCAGGAUUCAAUGUCCAACUCCCCAGGGCUCUGCAAGGACAAGGAGGCCUCUCACCUUUGACUGGGAGGUUCCUCAGAAUUAAUAUGAGACUCUGGUUAGAGAAUAUAUUCAUUAGUUUGCUUAUUUUUACCUGAGCACUUGCCACCAAGUACUCAGGAUGUUCAGAUACAAAAUCAUUUCUGUGCAACCAGUAUCAUGAAAAAAUGAAACAGCAUGUAUUUUGAAAAUUCAUUUAAAGAGUAAGAAUUUUUAGAGGCUCAAACCCGUUACAUACUUCUUAGCGAUAGGAGGUAAGACAGAAAUGGGGCCAUUCUCACUCCUUGAGCCAGAAAGUUUGGAAGCAUAACUACUUAGAAAAGAAGUAGGAAGGGCUGGGAUAUCAAAAAGUGGUGGCGUGUUAGCAUAGCAAGCAUGAGGCCCUAGGUUCAGUCCCCCAAACUGAAAAUAAAUACGUCAAUUUAUUUUAAAAAGAUAAAUAAAAAGGAGUUGGAAAUCCUAAGAGGAGAGAGAGAGCAGAAAUAUCUCACACUGCCUGCAGUUUGGACCUUGGAGCAGAGUAAAAGCAGCAGCAGAAAACUACAAACCCACUCUAGUCUCUUACAUGCAGCCACCAGCUCUACCUGCCUUGUCUAGUGACUGAGCAUUGAGCUUCAGAGAGCCUGUGUGACAGGAUUGGGUGGUAGGGGAAUAGAAGCCCGAAAUGAAGCCUAAGCUUUCGGAAAAGACCUCGGAGGGACUAUUCUAAGCUCCACUCCUAAGUUGCUCUAGGAGUGUAUUCUAGUAAUUCAAAGUCAAUUUUACCAUGUUCACAAAAUAAAGAAAAAAAUUCAUAGAUUCAUCUAAAAGAUACAGAAAGGCGUACUUGACAAAAUUGAGCACCAAGUUUCUUGGCGAAGUUUUAUUUUUCCUUCGCUUUGAUUUAGGGAACCCUGGCCUCUUGACUGGAACUGAGACGUACUUGCAUACACUCACAGCUUCUUAUAGUAGAAUGCCUAUAUGUUAUGUAAAAUACGGGUGGUAUAGAAGCAGUUAUAUAGGUUUGCAUAUAAACAGUGAACAUAUGGAGACUAAGUAGGAACUCCAUUUAAAACUGAAGUUUAAAAGAAAAAACGCAUGGGCCAGGUGGUAAUGGUGCACAGGCCUUCAAGUCCAGCACUCAGGAGACAGAGGCAGGUGCAUCUCUGGGAGUCUGAGGCCCAGCCUGGUCUACAGAGUGAGUUCCAGGACAGCCAGGGCUACAUGGAGAAACCCUGUCUUUACCCACCCCACCCCCCAAAGAAAACCAUGGAUUACAUAGAAAUAAAUUGCUGAAAGGCCUGAGAAACCCCAUACAGCAGUGCAUUACAUUAUUGAAGGUAAGAGAAAAAAAUUUAAUAAACAGAGAGAGUUCUACAUUCAUAGAUUUGAAAACUCAAAAUUGUUACUUCUCCCUAAACGAACCUGAAAUUCAAGGUCAAUUAUAAUCCUAGAAGAUUUUCAACCAGUCACAGAAAUUUAAAAGUUGAUUUUUUUAAAACAUACAAGAAAACCCAAGAACACACAAACGGGGGAAAAUUAAAACAGAUUAAUAGUAGUCAUAACAAUGCUAACUUUAAGAUUUACUGUAGAGAUUU